rnacentral:rRNA from 1 species
AGAGUUUGAUCAUGGCUCAGGAUGAACGCUGGCGGCAUGCCUAAUACAUGCAAGUCGAACGAAGUGCUUUAUGCACUUAGUGGCGAAUGGGUGAGUAACACGUAUUUAAUCUACCUAAUAGUGAGGGACAACAGUUAGAAAUGACUGCUAAUACCGCAUAGUAUAUUUUAUGGCAUCAUAAAAUAUUUAAAGGCGCUUCGGCGUCGCUAUUAGAUGAGGAUGCGGCGUAUUAGCUUGUUGGUAAGGUAAUGGCUUACCAAGGCAAUUAUACGUAGCCGGCCUGAGAGGGUGAACGGCCACAUCGGGACUGAGACACGGCCCGGACUCCUACGGGAGGCAGCAGUAAGGAAUUUUUCACAAUGGACGAAAGUCUGAUGGAGCAAUGCCGCGUGAUUGAUGACAGCCUUAGGGUUGUAAAAAUCUGUUAUAGAGAAAGAAUUGUCAGUAUAGGAAAUGAUAUUGGCUUGACGGUACUUUAUCAGAAAGACACGGCAAACUAUGUGCCAGCAGCCGCGGUAAUACAUAGGUGUCAAGCGUUAUCCGGAUUUAUUGGGCGUAAAGAGUGCGCAGACGGUAUGAUAAGUUUGAGGUUAAAGGCUAGGGCUUAACCCUAGUUCGCCUUGAAAACUGUCUUACUAGAGUGUGGUAGAAGUUGGUGGAAUUUCAUGUGUAGCGGUGGAAUGCGUAGAUAUAUGAAGGAACACCAGUGGCGAAGGCGAUCAACUAUGCUAUUACUGACGUUCAUGCACGAAAGCGUGGGGAGCAAAUAGGAUUAGAUACCCUAGUAGUCCACGCUGUAAACGAUGAGUACUAAGUGUCGACAUUAGUCGGUGCUGCAGCUAACGCAUUAAGUACUCCGCCUGAGUAGUAUGCUCGCAAGAGUGAAACUCAAAGGAAUUGACGG